GGGUAUCACUUUCUGGUAAAGCUUAGUAGUAGUUGUUGUUACGCUUACCUUUAUUUUUUUGACUUUGUACAACUCAUCAGAUGACAUUUGAUUCAGCACUUUUCUUAACAUACAUAUUUCCUUUCAAAGUUCCUUUUAUUGCUGAAAAAGCUCUCAUAGUUGUGUUGAUUUUUGUAGGCCUUUUAACCUUUACUCUUUUAAAU
rnacentral:lncRNA from 1 species